rnacentral:rRNA from 1 species
AUUGAACGCUGGCGGCAGGCCUAACACAUGCAAGUCGAGCGGAUGAAGGGAGCUUGCUCCUGGAUUCAGCGGCGGACGGGUGAGUAAUGCCUAGGAAUCUGCCUGGUAGUGGGGGAUAACGUCCGGAAACGGGCGCUAAUACCGCAUACGUCCUGAGGGAGCAAGUGGGGGAUCUUCGGACCUCACGCUCUCAGAUGAGCCUAGGUCGGAUUAGCUAGUUGGUGGGGUAAAGGCCUACCAAGGCGACGAUCCGUAACUGGUCUGAGAGGAUGAUCAGUCACACUGGAACUGAGACACGGUCCAGACGCCUACGGGAGGCAGCAGUGGGGAAUAUUGGACAAUGGGCGAAAGCCUGAUCCAGCCAGGCCGCGUGUGUGAAGAAGGUCUUCGGAUUGUAAAGCACUUUAAGUUGGGAGGAAGGGCAGUAAGUUAAUACCUUGCUGUUUUGACGUUACCAACAGAAUAAGCACCGGCUAACUUCGUG